AGCAAAGUGAAACUAACAGAGCAGGAAACAGCUCGACUCGCUGCGUGGAAACACACACGGACGAAGCCCAGCGUGUCUGUGGAAGAAACCCACUGAAGAAACUGUGUGUGACCUGUGGAGGCAGUGGACGCAGCCACACACCGGUAAGACCCGGGAAGAAGAGGUGAAAACGGGUUUUAAACGGUACAAUACUUCACUUUUCUACGGCGGAGGAAGAAGCCGCACCUUCAGCUCGCUUCUACACAUGAGCUUCAGUCUGACGGUGCUAACGUCCAGGUGGUUUAACGGGAAAAGUCACGGAUUUCGUGUUAAAUUCAGACGGUGUGGCAGCAGUGAAGGACGGUUCUCUUCACCUGCUGAAGACUAACCCAGCAGUGAAUUGGUCCCGACCAGACCUGCGUGUGUGUGAAGAUAAAGAUCCUACAUGAAGAAGACCUCGCCGACAAAAAGUUUCGCUGCUGGACAGAGGAUCUGUUCUACUUUCCUGAAAAGUCCAUUCUCACUGUGCAUCUACUGGAGGUUUCAAGUUUCCCCAUCAGUCGUGUAAGUUGCCUCCUCGACCGUGACGGGCUCCACAAUCCUGUUGUGUUGUCAUAAGUCCUGCAGGUACAUUCAGUUGUCCUCGGUCACCUGCUAUCCCACAAUUCUUUGAGAGGCAGUUUAGUCUGGUCCCACAGAAAAUGAAGAGAAUCGCCCUCGGCUCAUGUGGCCUCCUGGUCCCAGUGCAGAGAGGAGCAGGUGUGAUGGUAAAUCUCUUUCCAAAGGUGCUGAGCAGCUGAUGGAGUUUGUCAUCAGUGGAGACGUUGAGGCCGAUGUGUCACAGAUGUUGAAUCGUAGCUCUGCUUGGAGCUGUUCCAGUCUUUGGUGUGUUGAAUAGUUGGUUUCAGCACUCAGCCUCCUCCUGACAGUCCUGGUGGGUUUGAUGAUUUUUAAACUUCUGUAACAGCCACAGAUUCAGCCAGGUGUUCUACCUGUGCUGCAGACAGGAUGUAGUUUAUCUGCCUACAGAAUAAGAUUGUUUGGAUCCUCCACCUUCUCAUUUUGGUACCAUGUUCUUCAGUAGGACAUCGAUAACUGUCUUUGAAUGAGUGAUGGACUGGUUAUUGGCCUGGUCGAUUAACGAAACGUAUGUAGAACAAAACUACACAAAGACAUGUCAGUAAAGGUUUGUGUUAGAGUUUGUGUUUUCUAAAGUUUGACAGUAAGAUUUGCAUUUUUGCUGCAAAUAAAUAUUGUUUCCUAAUAUCGAUUAUCAGUUAUCUUGAUUACUAAUAAUCUUUUUCAAUAUCUGUUUUCAUAAAACAACAUAUCAGUAGACGCCUACUUUGUACUGAGAUAC